rnacentral:rRNA from 1 species
AGAGUUUGAUCAUGGCUCAGGAUGAAUGCUGGCGGCGUGCCUUAGGCAUGCAAGUCAAGGGGUUGCCUCGCAAGAGGUAACACCGGCAGACGGGUGAGUAACGCGUAGGAAUCUACCUCUAGGAGGAACAUAGCUCAUCGAAAGAUGGGGUAAUAUUCCAUGGUCUCGCAAGAGUAAAGGACUUAACGGUCCGCCAAGAGAUGAGCCUGCGUCCUAUCAGCUUGUUGGUGGGGUAAAUGCCUACCAAGGCGAUGACGGGUAGCUGGACUGAGAGGUCGAUCAGCCACAACUGCACUGAAACACGGGCAGUACAUCUACGGAUGGCAGCAACUAGGAAUAGUUCGCAAUGGACGAAAGUCUGACGACGCGACGCCGCGUGAAGGAAGAAGGCCUAUGGGUUGUAAACUUCUUUUGCUAAACCGUUCACAGUUUAGAGAAUAAGCCUCUACUAACUACGUGCCAGAAGUCUCGGUAAUACGUAGGAGGCAAGCAUUAUCCGGAUUUAUUGGGCGUAAAGUGUGCGUAGGCGGUUUGGAAAGUCUAUUCUUAAAGACCGAAGCUUAACUUCGGAACUGGAUUGGAUACUACCAAACUUGAGGAUUGUUAGGGAUGCUAGAACAGUAUGUGUAGCAGUGAAAUGCGUUGAUAUAUACUGGAAUACCAAAGGCGAAGGCAGGCAUCUGGGAUUUUCCUGACGCUGAGGCACGAAAGCCAGGGGAGCGAAA